AUGUCGAUUUAGAGGUUGUGGUCUUGAACUGUGGCUUCUGGAGCUAACGCGUUAAAUCGACCGCCUGGGGAGUACGGCCGCAAGGUUAAAACUCAAAUGAAUUGACGGGGGCCCGCACAAGCGGUGGAGCAUGUGGUUUAAUUCGAUGCAACGCGAAGAACCUUACCUACUCUUGACAUCCAGCGAAUCCUUUAGAGAUAGAGGAGUGCCUUCGGGAACGCUGAGACAGGUGCUGCAUGGCUGUCGUCAG
rnacentral:rRNA from 1 species